GAUGAACGCUAGCGGCAGGCUUAAUACAUGCAAGUCGAGGGGCAGCGCAGUGUAGCAAUACAUGGGCGGCGACCGGCAAACGGGUGCGGAACACGUACGCAAUCUACCCAAAACUGAUGAAUAGCCCUCCGAAAGGAGGAUUAAUACAUCGUAACCUAUUGAAGUGGCAUCACUUUAUUAGUAUAGCUCCGGCGGUUUUGGAUGAGCGUGCGGCUGAUUAGGUAGUUGGCAGGGUAACGGCCUACCAAGCCUACGAUCAGUAACUGGUGUGAGAGCACGACCAGUCACACGGGCACUGAGACACGGGCCCGACUCCUACGGGAGGCAGCAGUAAGGAAUAUUGGUCAAUGGACGCAAGUCUGAACCAGCCAUGCCGCGUGAAGGAUGAAGGUCCUCUGGAUUGUAAACUUCUUUUAUAGGGGAAGAAACCGGAAUUUUCUUGUUCCGUUGACGGUACCCUGGGAAUAAGCACCGGCUAACUCCGUGCCAGCAGCCGCAGUAAUAC
rnacentral:rRNA from 1 species